rnacentral:rRNA from 1 species
UUGCAGUGACGGCAUGCUAUACAUGCAAGUCGAGCGGACAGAUGGGAGCUUGCUCCCUGAUGUUAGCGGCGGACGGGUGAGUAACACGUGGGUAACCUGCCUGUAAGACUGGGAUAACUCCGGGAAACCGGGGCUAAUACCGGAUGGUUGUUUGAACCGCAGGGUUCAGACAUAAAAGGUGGCUUCGGCUACCACUUACAGAUGGACCCGCGGCGCAUUAGCUAGUUGGUGAGGUAACGGCUCACCAAGGCGACGAUGCGUAGCCCACCUGAGAGGGUGAUCGGCCACACUGGGACUGAGACACGGCCCAGACUCCUACGGGAGGCAGCAGUAGGGAAUCUUCCGCAAUGGACGAAAGUCUGACGGAGCAACGCCGCGUGAGUGAUGAAGGUUUUCGGAUCGUAAAGCUCUGUUGUUAGGGAAAAACAAGUGCCGUUCAAAUAGGGCGGCACCUUGACGGUACCUAACCAGAAAGCCACGGCUAACUACGUGCCAGCAGCCGCGGUAAUACGUAGGUGGCAAGCGUUGUCCGGAAUUAUUGGGCGUAAAGGGCUCGCAGGCGGUUUCUUAAGUCUGAUGUGAAAGCCCCCGGCUCAACCGGGGAGGGUCAUUGGAAACUGGGGAACUUGAGUGCAGAAGAGGAGAGUGGAAUUCCACGUGUAGCGGUGAAAUGCGUAGAGAUGUGGAGGAACACCAGUGGCGAAGGCGACUCUCUGGUCUGUAACUGACGCUGAGGAGCGAAAGCGUGGGGAGCGAACAGGAUUAUAUACCCUGGUAGUCCACGCCGUACACGAUGAGUGCUAAGUGUUAGGGGGUUCCCGCCCCUUAGUGCUGCAGCUAACGCAUUAAGCACUCCGCCUGGGAGAGUACGGUCGCAAGACUGACACUCAGAGGAUUUGACGGGCGCCCGCACAAGCGGUGGAGCAUGUGGUUUAUUUCAAAGCAACGCAAAGAACCUUACCAGGUCUUGACAUCCUCUGACAAUCCUAGAAGAUAGGACGUCCCCUUCGGGGGCAGAAUGACAGGUGGUGCAUGGGUUGUCGUCACCUCCUGUCAAGAUAUGUUGGGUUAACUCCCGCAACGACCGCACCCUUGAUCUUAGUUGCCAACAUUCAGUGGGCCCCUCUAAGGUGACUGGCGGGUAACAACCCGGAAGAAAGGGGGGGGAUGACCUUCAAAUUCUUCCUCCCCCUUUUUUACCCUGGGUUUACACCGGGGUUAAA